UACGGAAGGUCCGGGCGUUAUCCGGAUUUAUUGGGUUUAAAGGGAGCGCAGGCGGGAGUUUAAGCGUGCUGUGAAAUGUACCGGCUCAACCGGUGAUGUGCAGCGCGAACUGGAUUUCUUGAGUGGGUACGACGUCAGCGGAAUUUGUGGUGUAGCGGUGAAAUGCUUAGAUAUCACGAAGAACGCCGAUUGCGAAGGCAGCUGACGAGUCCCUAACUGACGCUAAUGCUCGAAAGUGCGGGUAUCGAAC
rnacentral:rRNA from 1 species